UUUCACCAUACUGUAUAAGACGCUGUGUUCAUAUCAAACUUGAUCCUUUUCUGGGAGGCCGUUCCAAACAGAAGAAGUCCUUGAUCAAGAUUUUUUGAAACACUGAUAUUAGAACAUAAACAGCUUAACUGGAGAGAAGUAGUUUGUCUUCUGUCUCAAACAACGAACACAUGAUCUCACGCUGCUAGUCCAGAAAGUGGAGACCUGAGGGAGGACUUCAACAGCUGAUGGUCCGAUCACUACAGCACACCUCCAGCGAUAUCAUCAUCAUCAUCAUCAUCAUCAUCAUCAUCCUCACCAACCCCCUGAACAGAAGCUGUUCAAUGAACCCAUCAGGUCAAACACAGACUGUCACCUAAUACAGAUAUGAGCAGGUCGACAACUGAGUCCAACACAUCAUGGAGAACAGUUCCAGCAGUUUGGAAUCCAUCCAGGAGGCAGCAAUGCUCAGAUCAGCAGGUGUUGUUGGAGACCCAUACCUGGCUGGAGGAUACUUGAUAGGAAGCUCCCUGCUGGGCUUCCUCAUCAUCAUCGGGGUCUUCUGGUACCAUCACAGCAAUCUCAGCCUUUUUAAAAGAUCCUUCGUCAUGACCUUCACCUGCCAGGAAAACAGUCUCAUGGGUGUUGAAGUCAUCUACAACUCUCUGGUGACUCUGCUCACCAUGGAUGCUGUGAAUCUGAUCGUGGCAAUAAUCUUGGGAGCUGAGAUCGUUGGAAGCUUCUGCGAUGGUAAAAGGAGCUGUUUCUACAUCAAAAACGUCUGGUUCCUGUCCAGAUGGUUUGGAGUGAUUUUUCAUCUUCUGAGCACCUUGUUGUCCAUCAAUCAUCUGUGUCAUCAGCCACUGAGUGUAACCAGGGUUCGCAUCGCCUACUCAUUGAUUGGUCUAAUGAUUGGCAUUAUAAUUCCACUUCAUCUGUAUGCUGCCGGAGUGGCCAUAUUCAUUUUAACUGUUUUCAUGUUUCUGUUUGCUUUGGCUGUCAUUGUAAAAGCUACAACACCUACCUCAUCCCCGUCCACUGCCACCCUGAAGAAACUGAUCAUGGUUGUUGCCAUGUGCAACUUUCUGGUUGUCUACGUUCCCACUUUCAUUCUUUACCUCCUCCUUUACGGCUCAUAUGACAAUGACAAGUUAGUGAAUUAUAUAACUGCUUAUGUGAAUUUUCUGGUUUUCACAAACCUUCACCUCACUUUCGAUGGAUUCCAGUGCGCUUUAGUCCUGAAGUUGCCUUCAAGAGAAGAACAGCAACAACAGCAACAUGAGCUACAACAGUGGUAGCAACAACAGCAACAACAGUUGGGUUUACAAAUACAGGAUUCACAGCGUCUACAACUGUAUAUCAGCCAUGAGCAAAAUUAUGUCUCUGCACCACAAAAAUCAAUGUGCAUCCCAAGUACUGAAAGAUAAUCCAGGAUCGUUUCACUAUUCACAAUUAUUACUGUCUUCUUGGGCUGUACCUGUUGGACAGAAGGAUGCAGCUCCUACUUUAUUUAUGUAAACCUUUACACAUGUGGACAAAAUUGUUGGUACCCCUCGGUUAAUGAAAGAAAAAACCCACAAUGAUCACAGAAAUAAUUUGAAUCUGACAAAAGUAAUAAUCAAUAAAAAAUUCAUGAAAAUUAACCAAUGAAAAUCAGACAUUGCUUUUGAACUGUGGUUCAACAGAAUUAUUUUAAAAAAUAAACUCUUGAAACAGGCCUGGACAAAAAUGAUGGUAUCCCUAGAAAAGACUGAAAAUAAUGUGACCAUAGGGACAUGUUCAAUCAAGGUGUGUCCUCUAAUUAGCAUCACAGGUGUCUACAAACUUGUAAUCAGUCAGUCGGCCUAUUUAUAGGGUUACAGUAGUCACUGUGCUGUUUGGUGACAUGGUGUGUACCACACUAAACAUGGACCAGAGGAAGCCAAGGAGAGAGUUGUCUCAGGAGAUUAGAAAGAAAAUGAUAGACAAGCAUGUUAAAGGUAAAGGCUAGAAGACCAUCUCCAAGCAGCUUGAUGUUCCUGUGACUACAGUUGCAUAUAUUAUUCAGAAAUUUAAGAUCCAUGGGACUGUAGCCAACCUCCCUGGACGUGGCCUCAGGAGGAAAACUGAUGACAAAUGGAAGAGACAGAUAAUAUGAAUGGUAACAAAAGAGGUCAGAACAACCUCUAAAGACAUUAAAGGUGAACUCCAAGGUCAAGGUACAUCAGUGUCAGAUCGCACCAUCCGUCGUUGUUUGAGUCA
ensembl:lncRNA